CAGCAGCCGCGGUAAUACGGAGGGGGCUAGCGUUGUUCGGAAUUACUGGGCGUAAAGCGCACGUAGGCGGCUUGGUAAGUUAGAGGUGAAAGCCCGGAGCUCAACUCCGGAAUUGCCUUUAAGACUGCCGAGCUAGUAGGUGAGAGAGGUAAGUGGAAUUCCGAGUGUAGAGGUGAAAUUCGUAGAUAUUCGGAAGAACACCAGUGGCGAAGGCGACUCUCUGGUCUGUAACUGACGCUGAGGAGCGAAAGCGUGGGGAGCGAACAGGAUUAGAUACCCGUGUAGUCCCUGUCUCUUAUAC
rnacentral:rRNA from 1 species